rnacentral:rRNA from 1 species
GCACAAGCGGUGGAGCAUGUGGUUUAAUUCGAUGAUACGCGAGGAACCGUUACCUGGGCUCGAACGUAAGAUGACUGUAGGUGAAAGCUUACAUCUCUUCGGAGCAUUUUACGAGGUGCUGCAUGGUUGUCGUCAGCUCGUGCCGUGAGGUGUCGGGUUAAGUCCCAUAACGAGCGCAACCCCUACCUUUAGUUGCCAUCAGGUAAUGCUGGGGACUCUAAAGGAACUGCCUACGCAAGUAGUGAGGAAGGCGGGGAUGACGUCAAAUCAGCACGGCCCUUACGUCCAGGGCUACACACGUGCUACAAUGGCCGAUACAGAGGGCAGCUACCUGGUGACAGGAUGCAAAUCUCCAAAGUCGGUCUCAGUUCGGAUCGGAGUCUGCAACCCGACUCCGUGAAGUUGGAUUCGCUAGUAAUCGCGCAUCAGCCAUGGCGCGGUGAAUACGUUCCCGGGCCUU